AAAAAGUGCUGUUGUGUAGUGUUUGCGUGUGUGUGUGUACACCCGUUUGCAUACGAUAAUACAAAGUGCUGAUAAAGUAGAGGUGUAAGCAAAACAGGGAAAACACAAGAAAAACGGGCGAAAAAAAGUGAAACAUACGAAAAUCGACACGAUCCAUUAGAUUCACGUGUGGUUAGUGAUUUUUUUGUUGUUGGUUUAUUUGUGGUUGUUGUUUCGAUUAUUUCCGAAUUCAAGUUCGCAGUGUGUCUGAUGUGCGUUUGAUUCAGUCUGUGUGUAUGUGUGUGUGUGUAAGUGUGCUUAUUAUUAUGUUUAUGAUCGUGCGCUAAAACAAAAGGUGCAGAAAACGAAGGAAAAUUAAUCAAAAGUACAGUGAAGCGUGUGUGAGUGAAUCGAUUUUCUCCAUCCGUAGCAAGCGAAAAAUUAAGGCGAUAACACACACACAUUGGUGUGAUUGUUGUUUGCGAGCAAUAAAAAGCGUGAGCUAAUAGUAAAGUGAUAUAUUUGCCUUAACCUGCCUAUAAUUAAGCCGGUGGGGUGUUGGUGAUUCAUGGAAAGUGAGUGAGCGCAGAGUGUACAGUUUUGUUUUUCCCGUUUGGUGUGUAAGACAGUGGAAACUGCAUUCAACUUUUCCAUUUCCCCAGUUUUGAGUGAGUGAAACAGUUUCGCUUGAUUUGUGUUUUCUUUGUGUGGUAGCGGUAAAGUUUGGUUAGCUUUUUUUCCUUAUAAACACACAUCAUCCACAUAAAGUGUUUAUAAACAUCUUUAAGCUGCUUGCUCUUUGGACGGCGUUAGUGACGUGUCUAGAGUGGAAAACGGUUCAACCAAGAACUUGCUAACGCAAGAACCGGUCUUUGCUGUUAAAAAGGGGAGAGGAAGCUUUCUGAGGUACGAUCGCGACUCUCGCGACCGGAAGUAUCGAAGUCGGUCGUCGUCGCUUCGGCAGAGGUGUAAAGACCAGAAGACAAUCAAGCAGGUGUUGGAAAGAGAGGAAGAGAGAAGAGACUACACAGCUCAUCGCUAAAAGCAGUUUCUUCGGAAGCGUUAAAAGAAGAAGAUUAAAACGCUUGCCCGGAAGAAGUAAAAACACGUGCACACAAAAGGUGAGAGGCCAUGGCUAUGUU